rnacentral:rRNA from 1 species
AUUGAACGCUGGCGGCAUGCUUUACACAUGCAAGUCGAACGGCAGCGCGGGGCAACCUGGCGGCGAGUGGCGAACGGGUGAGUAAUAUAUCGGAACGUACCCAGAAGUGGGGGAUAACGUAGCGAAAGUUACGCUAAUACCGCAUACGAUCUACGGUUGAAAGUAGGGGACCGCAAGGCCUUAUGCCUUUGGAGCGGCCGAUAUGUGAUUAGCUGGUUGGUGAGGUACAGGCUCACCAAGGCGACGAUCAGUAGCUGGCCGAAGAGGACGACCAGCCACACUGAAACUGAGACACGGUCCAGACUCCUACGGAAGGCAGAGGUGGGAAUUUUGGACAAUGGGCGCAAGCCUGAUCCAGCAAUGCCGCGUGAGUGAAGAAGGCCUUCGGGUUGUAAAGCUCUUUUGUCAGGGAAGAAACGGUAGAGGCUAAUAUCCUUUGCUAAUGACGGUACCUGAAGAAUAAGCACCGGCUAACUACGUG